AGUGAACGCUGGCGGUAGGCCUAACACAUGCAAGUCGAACGGCAGCACAGUAAGAGCUUGCUCUUACGGGUGGCGAGUGGCGGACGGGUGAGGAAUACAUCGGAAUCUACUUUUUCGUGGGGGAUAACGUAGGGAAACUUACGCUAAUACCGCAUACGACCUACGGGUGAAAGCAGGGGAUCUUCGGACCUUGCGCGAUUGAAUGAGCCGAUGCCGGAUUAGCUAGUUGGCGGGGUAAAGGCCCACCAAGGCGACGAUCCGUAGCUGGUCUGAGAGGAUGAUCAGCCACACUGGAACUGAGACACGGUCCAGACCCCUACGGGAGGCAGCAGUGGGGAAUAUUGGACAAUGGGCGCAAGCCUGAUCCAGCCAUACCGCGUGGGUGAAGAAGGCCUUCGGGUUGUAAAGCCCUUUUGUUGGGAAAGAAAAGCAGCAGGUUAAUACCCCGCUGUUCUGACGGUACCCAAAGAAUAAGCACCGGCUAACUUCGUG
rnacentral:rRNA from 1 species